CAGCUCCUCUGUUCCUCCCUGCCGCCCUUCCUUCCUCCUCUCGAUGUGCGCCGGUGAUCUGCUGUGGGCGUGCGUGACCGCCCCCGCGACGCGUCCGUCUAUGGCGGCUGCGGCAUCCGCCCGCCCCAUCGGCUUCCACCGCCGGCUGUCCUCGUACUACAUCGUCCUCCAUGCCUUGCAGCUCUACCUCACGCCCCUUACCCUUCCGUAACUGAAGCUGGAACUGCUGCCUCAAAGGUCCACUGUCCGCCUCCUGACAUAAUGGUGAUGAUGGUAGUUAACCUCAGGGGUGAUGAUGGUGAUUAAUUUGGUGUUCGUGCGUUACCCCAAUCUCCCGUUCUUCCUUCUAUAUUAUGCCUUGCAGGAUCCCUUUUUUCCUGCCAUCUGUGUCGUCUCUUCACCAUGCCUGUUGCCUAGGUUCGCAGUGCUCAUUCAUUGGGAUUUCCGUGUUGGAAUAGCUCGUGGCUGUGUUGGUUACACCCAAUUGCAAGCAUGGCUUCUGGACAGGCUCCACAGCUGACUCUGUUCUUACAUACUGUUGCCUUAUCAUCAUCUACUAUGUUUUUCUUUGUUAGUUGUUAAUUCUAUGUGAUUUGUUUGAUUUUCAUUCCAACCAGCCACAUCCAUUUUCUCUCUUUACUUUCCUUCUCUUGGUUUCAGAUUUUGUAUAAUCUGUUAGUGACACGUGCUGAACCUAAGUAGAAUAAAAAUGCCGAAACGUUCUCGAUUACAAGACCAUGGAAGCGAUGUGCGCCAGCCACGUUGCGCUAGCGGAUCAAGUAGAGUCCUGCCCCAAUGUAAGCGGGAAAGGAUUAACGACCCACUUAAUAUGCACAAUUCAAUUAGACGGCCAAAAAGGGUAUGUUAAUUCACCUCCACGUGUGCUGCUUUACGGCAUUUUCCUUACCUUGAUAAUCAUCUUCUAUACUGCCAUACAAGAAUAUUUAGACUGCAGGCAUUUGGUCCCUCAUGAUUCCUUGUGGUGCUUGUAUGAAUUUCCCCUACACUGUAAAAUGCCAACAGUUGAAAGAUUAGACAUCCAUUUACUUGACAUGAUUACUAUUACUUACAAAUCAAAAGAAAAUCUUGAAACUAUUGUAUCUAAUGCUGAAAAGUUUAAGAAAACUAUGCUUAGUGAAUGGUUUAUUGCAAACCAAAAGUUUCCAGAAGCUCAACAAUUGACAUAUCGCAAUUUCCCAAGUGAAUGGAUAUUGGAACGGACUGACAAAUUCUGGAAAAAAAAGGUGCGAAACUGGUGAAAAAAUAGGCCGUGUAUACUAUGUCCAUCCAUCUGCUGUAUGUCUAAAGAAGCUUGCGGCUCGGGGGUUAUUAGGUGAUGAUACAGAAUGGUACACUGCAUUUGAUAAGGCAUCAGCUUAGGUAUCUUUUCAUUACAAUCAUUUUGCAUUGCAGUGUAGAGGAUGAGCGUGCAUUUCAUAACAAAUACUACUCUUACAUGACUGAUGAUAUCCAGCAUAGGUUUCGCGUUAAUGAGAAAAGCCUUCAUUUUGGGGAGCUACCCUUCUAGGUCAAUAGCAUGAUAGCAGUCCCCCAAAAAUCAAAUGUCUUUGAGUUCAACCAACUGUCUCCUGGUUCAAACAAAAGCAUAUAGCCAAUCAUCAGUACCAACCCUCAAGGAUAUUACAGAAGAACAUUCUGCAUGAGUCGCAAAGAAAACAACAAGCUGAAUAAACCGGAAACUGGCGAAAACUCCAACCCCAUUCAAACUGACGAAAUCUCAGUCCACUCCCGAGCUGCCACAACAGACAUAUCUCCACCUCUAACCAUGACUCCUGAGGCACAAAUGCCCCUCAUUAAUCCCCAGAAACUACUAAAGAUAGUGGAACCAAGGGAAAGAGAAAUUCUACCAAGAGGACAUCAACAGAUGGGAAGAAGUCUGCUACCCAGAAGAAACUGAACAUGGGUGCCCCGGAACAGAAUGCCACUUGAAGACAUAAGAUUCAAAAAAAAGGAAGAGAACAAGCAUCUUCGUGCCUUCGCAGAUCAAAAGAUUAAUGUUUGCCUGAAUAAGAAAACCUGUGGUUGUCUUCCUUAGCAUCCACUUCAGUGUUUGCCAUCUGCCCAACGGCCUGCACAAGUCUACCAGACAUGUUUUCUUCUUUUGUGCUAAUAACAGUAUGUACGAUGCACUGAUAAUGACCUUCAUGCAACCAGCAACUAUACUCUGCUCUUCUUCCA